rnacentral:lncRNA from 1 species
GAAGACAUAGAUGAUGAAUUUCUUGAGGACGAAUUUCUUGAGGACAACUUAAGUGAUGAAUUUCAAGAGGAUGAUAUAGAUGAUGAAUUUCAAGAGGAUGACCUAGAUGAUGAAAUUCAAGAGGAUGACAUCGGUGAUGAAUUUGAAGUGGACGAUUUGGCUGAUGAAUUACAAGAUAAACUUGAAUGAUCGAGUUGGAUGGUGUUUUAUUUUGGAUUGUAAUUAAGCCACAUUUUGGAUUGUAGUUAAACCACUAAACUUGUCCGAACU